GGCUGGUCCCAGUGCAGUGGUGUUUACUACUAAUUGAUGGCAACCACACAACCAGUUACAGGUUCCUUUGUUCCAUCUCCAUUCCCACUGCUUCACUUGACUAGCCUAAA
ensembl:misc_RNA Y_RNA Y RNA